rnacentral:rRNA from 1 species
UAGUCCACGCCGUAAACGAUGAUUACUCGCUGUAGGCGAUACACAGUCUGUGGCUAAGCGAAAGUUUUAAGUAAUCCACCUGGGGAGUACGAUCGCAAGAUUGAAACUCAAAGGAAUUGACGGGGGCCCGCACAAGCGGAGGAACAUGUGGUUUAAUUCGAUGAUACGCGAGGAACCUUACCUGGACUUAAAUGUGCGUUGCAUAGAUCAGAGAUGGUCUUUUCUUCGGACUACGUACAAGGUGCUGCAUCGUUGCCGUCAGCUCGUGCCGUGAGGUGUUGGGUUAAGUCCCGCAACGAGCGCAACCCCUAUUCUUAGUUGCCAGCACAUAAUGGUGGGGACUCUAAGAAGACUGCCUACGCAAGUAGUGAGGAAGGCGGGGAUGACGUCAAAUCAUCAUGGCCUUUAUGCCUAGGGCGACACACGUGCUACAAUGGCCGGUACAAAGGGUAGCUAAACCGCGAGGUGGAGCCAAUCCCAGAAAGCCGGUCCCAGUUCGGA